rnacentral:rRNA from 1 species
GAUCAUGGCUCAGAUUGAACGCUGGCGGUAUGCCUAACACAUGCAAGUCGAACGAGGUAGCAAUACCUAGUGGCGGACGGGUGAGGAAUACGUAGGGAUCUGCCCUUAAGUGGGGGAUAACCCGGGGAAACCCGGAUUAAUACCGCAUGAUCUCGCAAGAGCAAAGAGGGGGACCGCAAGGCCUCUCGCUUUUGGAGGAACCUACGUCGGAUUAGCUAGUUGGUGAGGUAAUGGCUCACCAAGGCGACGAUCCGUAACUGGUCUGAGAGGAUGAUCAGUCACACCGGAACUGAGACACGGUCCGGACUCCUACGGGAGGCAGCAGUGGGGAAUAUUGGACAAUGGGCGAAAGCCUGAUCCAGCAAUACCGCGUGUGUGAAGAAGGCCUUCGGGAUGUAAAGCACUUUAAGUUGGGAAGAAAAAGCUUCACCUAAUACGUGAAGCCUUGACGGUACCGACAGAAUAAGCACCGGCUAACUCUGUG